UCACCGCUUGCGCGGGCAGUCUCAUUAGAGUGCUCAGCUUUCCUGUUAGCAACUAAUGACAAGGGUUGCGCUCGUUGCGGGACUUAACCCAACAUCUCACGACACGAGCUGACGACAGCCAUGCAGCACCUGUGUUACGGCUCCCUUUCGGGCACACCCGCAUCUCUGCGGGCUUCCGUACAUGUCAAGGGUAGGUAAGGUUUUUCGCGUUGCAUCGAAUUAAUCCACAUCAUCCACCGCUUGUGCGGGUCCCCGUCAAUUCCUUUGAGUUUUAAUCUUGCGACCGUACUCCCCAGGCGGUCAACUUCACGCGUUAGCUGCGGUACUAGGAAAUCGCUUCCCCAACACCUAGUUGACAUCGUUUAGGGCGUGGACUAC
rnacentral:misc_RNA from 1 species